UGCAACAUCGAAAAUCGCCCACAUAUUUUCUUCGAAAAGUGUCUCAUAUAUGUUAUUUACAUGUUCCAGUUACAAAUGAAAAUGAAAAUGGCUCCCAAAUAUGAAGCAGUCAAAAACAGAAGAAGAUCUGGCAGUCUCUACAAUAAACAGUCAUCGCCAUCUCCAGAAUCCGGCGAGCUUUCAGAGCCGCCCGUGACGAAAUCCGUCAGACCCAGGGCC
rnacentral:lncRNA from 1 species